rnacentral:rRNA from 1 species
AACGAACGCUAGCGGCAGGCUUAAUACAUGCAAGUCGAGGGGCAGCAUGAGUGUAGCAAUACAUUUGAUGGCGACCGGCAAACGGGUGCGGAACACGUACACAACCUUCCUAUAAGUGGGGAAUAGCCCAGAGAAAUUUGGAUUAAUACCCCGUAACAUAAUGAUGUGGCAUCACAUUAUUAUUAUAGCUUCGGCGCUUAUUGAUGGGUGUGCGGCUGAUUAGAUAGUUGGCGGGGUAACGGCCCACCAAGUCUACGAUCAGUAGCUGAUGUGAGAGCAUGAUCAGCCACACGGGCACUGAGACACGGGCCCGACUCCUACGGGAGGCAGCAGUAAGGAAUAUUGGUCAAUGGACGCAAGUCUGAACCAGCCAUGCCGCGUGAAGGAUUAAGGUCCUCUGGAUUGUAAACUUCUUUUAUCUGGGACGAAAAAAGGCUAUUCUUAGUCACUUGACGGUACCAGAUGAAUAAGCACCGGCUAACUCCGUGCCAGCCGCCGCCGUAAAAC